GAGGUCAUUACGAGUUGCAACUCCCUAACCAUUGCUGAACGCUACCUAAACCGUUGCUUCGGCGGGCGGCCCCGGGGUUCUCCCCGGGCGCCCCUGGGCCCCAUCGCGGGCGCCCGCCGGAGGUCACCAAACUCUUGAUAAUUUAUGGCCUCUCUGAGUCUUCUGUACUGAAUAAGUCAAAACUUUCAACAACGGAUCUCUUGGUUCUGGCAUCGAUGAAGAACGCAGCGAAAUGCGAUAAGUAAUGUGAAUUGCAGAAUUCAGUGAAUCAUCGAAUCUUUGAACGCACAUUGCGCCCGCCAGUAUUCUGGCGGGCAUGCCUGUUCGAGCGUCAUUUCAACCAUCAAGCCCCCGGCUUGUGUUGGGGACCUGCGGCUGCCGCAGGCCCCGAAAAGCAGUGGCGGGCUCGCUGUCACACCGAGCGUAGUAGCAUACAUCUCGCUCUGGGCGUGCUGCGGGUUCCGGCCGUUAAACCACCUUCAUAACCCAAGGUGACCUCGGAUCAGGUAGGAAGACCCGCGAACUAG
rnacentral:rRNA from 1 species